rnacentral:misc_RNA from 1 species
UGAAGUGCGAUAAGUAAUGUGAAUUGCAUAAAUUCGUGAAUCAUCGAAUCUUUGAACGCAAAUUGCACUCGUAGGUUCGCCUGCGAGUAUGCCUGUUUGAGUAUCAUAACCAUCUCGAAGCUCGUGAGCUUUGGAUCUGGGUCUCCUACCUGCUGCGGUCACCACCGCCUCGGUAAGACCUGAAAUGCAGGCAACUGUCUGGGUGCGGAAAGCUGUGCUCCUCCCAUCAAAGCGCGAUAGUGAAAAGUCUUUCUAUAUCAUCGCUGAUCAUGGUUGAGCCACGCGAGUACCUACCUAUCCAAGGAUGGUUGCUCUACCCCCAAUCUUUGCGUGAGGCGGAAGCAAUGAAACCUCACCCUAAAAUAUGAUCUCAAAUCAGACAAGACUACCCGCUGAACUU